rnacentral:rRNA from 1 species
CGAAAGCCUGACGGAGCAAGACCGCGUGGGGGAAGAAGGCUCUUGGGUUGUAAACCCCUUUUCUCUGGGAAGAAAGUUGUGAAAGCAACCUGACGGUACCAGAGGAAUCAGCAUCGGCUAACUCCGUGCCAGCAGCCGCGGUAAGACGGAGGAUGCAAGCGUUAUCCGGAAUGAUUGGGCGUAAAGCGUCCGCAGGUGGCAGUUCAAGUCUGCUGUCAAAGACCGGGGCUUAACUUCGGAAAGGCAGUGGAAACUGAACAGCUAGAGUAUGGUAGGGGCAGAGGGAAUUCCUGGUGUAGCGGUGAAAUGCGUAGAGAUCAGGAAGAACAUCGGUGGCGAAGGCGCU